GUGAGGAUCUAUCGGAACCCUCCAUGGAUGAAAAUAAUUUAAGGCUUGGACAGAUCGUGAGUACAGAUGAUGUGUAUAAAACCAACUAGUUUUAUUCCUACUUUUCUAAUGUAAAUUUGACACACAAUAGGCAGUGUACCUGUCUAAUGUAAGUAUAGUUUUAGUAAGCAGGAUAUCAAACUCAGGGAACGACAAUUAAACUAAUUACUAGAACUAUCUAAAAACAAAUAAUAAAAGGAGGGGGUUUCUCUAGUUUUGCAAGACUAGAAAACUUAAAUUUCUAACUAAAACUCAAACAAAACAAUUAACAGCUAGAGAGCUAAAAUCAACUAAAUUCAAUGGUGGAAGAGACUUCUGCUUAGGGAUGACUCAUUUGAUCAUAUGGUUGAUUCUAUGAAAAGUGCAAUGGAUUAAUUUAUAUUGGCUACCAAUUAAGAUGAUUAGGUUCACAUUCGCUAUUACUAAUCCUUAGAAAACAAAUUAAUCUAAGCAGUGGCCAUUUGUUUAAAUUAAUGAAGUUCCUAGUUUAUUUAUUCGGAUUAAGUAAGACUUAUAGUGGUUAACUAAAUUGGUCUUUUAAUUAACCUCUUGCUGAUGGUUCGUCAUACAAGGUCAUACAUUAAUUUUCCUAUUUUCUAUUAACCCUAGUUUCACAUUCAUUAUUCCUAGGCAUAUAACAAUGUUUUUACGUUCCUCAUAUGAAGUUAACAAUUAAGAGAUGGUCAUGCAACUUAAUCACAGGUUAAUUAACAGAAAAUAGUUGUAAUUAACACACAAGGUUCUUUAACAAGCUUAACAAAACAUUAUUACCAACAAAAAUUAAUCCUACUCAUAAAUCAACACAAAGUCACAAAGUUGUUUUCCCUAAACAGAAGAUAUAUGUUCUAGUUCAUGAUUAAGACAGUAAAAAACUCAAAAAACACAAUCUAAUAACUCAAACAUGUUUUGGAAACUAGAUUUAGUAAAGAAUAAAUUGAUUUUGCCUUAAUUCUCCUCCAAAAGUUGAUCUAGGUUGAUUCUCCGACUUCUCACGCUCCAGAAGAACCCUUAUUCGCAGAUUUCUCUCGAAGGACUUCUUAGAAAAAUCGAGUGUCGAUCUGGAAGUCUCUUUUUAUAGAUCAGGGGCUACUCAUCGAGUCUAGGUAUAGACUCGCCGAGUCCCUCAUUAAAUCCCCGUGUCCGGCAAGGUAAGGAUUCCUCUACUUCGAGAACCUUCGUGGGAACUCCUUCGAUUCACGUACACACUCGGCGAGUGCCUUGUGAUUUUUGGCUCUUUUCCUCUUUCCUUGACUCACGAGCUCCCGACAGCUGCUCCUUCUUCCUUUUGCUUCGAGCACUUCUUUUGGACUGAAAAUAUAAUUUAAACAUAAUUAAGCAUCUUUUGUUCCAUAAUUGUAGUAAAUUAACCAAAAAGUAUUAACAUUUUAUGCGGAAUAUAUGACUAAAUAUACACAUAUCAAAUUACCCCACACUUGACUUUUGCUUGCCCUCAAGCAAAACUGAAUUUAAGCAUACUAGUAUCACAUAAAAUAAUCCUAAUUAAACCUAACCAUUAUGUCAAGACCUCAACGCAUGCAUUUGUGUCUAAAUUUUUUCCUAAAGCAUCCCGCCAUACUCUAAAUACUAACAACCCUCAUAAACACUCGCCCACUUCUUUCGAACAACGCUCACUUUAUACAUCCCUCCAAAUCAAUCCUAAGAAAACUUCCUUAACCUCAAGGUAUUUUUGUAAAGCUACCCAAGCAUACAUAAUCUAGAAAAAAUUACAACUUUUUCGAUACCACUAUGGAGCUCUUUGGAAUCUGUCACUUCUUUAAUAAUUUGUCUUUGAUGUCUUUGAAUUCACCACCUUUUGAUUGUCGGUAUCUUCAAUUUUUUUGAAUCUUCAGAAUUUUGAUAUUUUGAUCUUCACUUUGAUUGCUCCAAAAUUCUUACAACUUUUCAUGUAAUUCUCUCUCUUUUCUCUUUUUUUACAUGUAUUUCUCACUUUUUUUUCACUUAAUACCUACAUGCUUAAGCAGGGGCACUCAACUUCAACCCUUAUUUGUUAAGAUACAAGCCAUCUUGGAUAGAUUUCUGGUACACGAUGCUAAACAUAUUGCGACCCUCAAACUAAGCAAGGUUGUGUUUUUGUCCCAUGGUUUCACUAGAAUAAGGGAGGCCACAAAUGCAAUAUAGCGUAUAUUGGCUCAACUAAACAUUUGGGUCUUCAAAGAAUCAUCGAACAUAAUACUAGCAUGAACCCUAAUUGCUUUUACCAAAAUUUUCUAAUUUAGCCCUAGCAAUUUUAAUGCAAAAAUUCCAAAAUUUUCAAAAUUUAACUAAAAUUUUAACUAAUGUAACCAACCUCCUACCCCACACUUAAUUUAUGCAAUGUCCCUAUUGCAUAUUAUGCAUAAUAAAGAAUAAUAAAAUAAAGAGGGAAUUGGAACAAACUCCCCUGGGUUAGUAGUUGUGAGCUUGAUAUUCUUCAAUUUAGCUCCAUCUUCAGCUGACUUUAGACAUGGGAACAGCUCAUCCAUGCCUUGGGUGUCAUUCGUCUCGAGUGGUAAACAACUCUAAAAAUGCAGGAAAAACUCUAGGAAAUCUCCAGGAAUUAUACUUCAUAAGUGCAGCCAAUUGCCGUGUGAAACAAUAUCAAAUCAUAAGAAAAGAUGUGGAAUUCGUAGCAACUCUUCGAGUUAGUAGAUAGACUCACCGAGUUGUAGCGUGAAAAUGUGGAAUCCGGAUUUUUACACUGGGACUCGUCAUGUCUGUAUGUGCACUCGGCGAGUCCAUCGCUGUAAAAAAACUGCUUUCUGCUCCAUUAAUUCUGAUGUUGUAAAUACUUCAAAGUUUGGUUCAUGUUAAUCGUUUUCCUCCAGUAUUUAGAUUCUUUUAGACUCUCUUAAACACCGGACCCGAUACUCGAACUUCCUUCUCUCUUUCGCCUAGACUCGACAUUUCUAUCACUCUCGAGACCUUUUGUACUCAACCCUAGCAUCCAAAUUCUGAAAACAAAACUAAAACAAGUAAUCAAGCAAUUAAAAAUCCUAAAGGUACUUGUUCAAACAUCAAACACACACAAACAAAAACAAAUCAAAAGAAAACAAAUAAAAAUUGUUUUUAACACAACCAAAAAUAAAAAGGAUAAUUCAUUCUUCUUCUUCAUCGUCCUCUUCAUCAUCAUCCAUUGCCCCACUUCCACCACCUCCAGUCCUCCUUGCAUCAAUCCGAUCCUCCCAUGUUGAAAUGUAUGGGUAAUUACCCCCAUCAAUGUGCGGGAGUUGAAAGUGAUUAAAAAGCUGAAUAUGGGACUAGUUGCAUAAGUUUAUCCCCCUCUCCAAAUCAUUCUGGAACAGCCUCAUUUCCACAUUAUACCAAUCCAUAGGUACAUCAUUAUCGACCGGGAUCACCGGUAGGUCAUCUUGAGCUUCCCGUUGGCGUCUUCUCACCCUCCUUCCCGGGUCCUCGGGUGCUAGCACCGGCUCAUAACGAGGAAUAGUGUAGGUUCCUCCACCAAAGUCUUAAAUUAUUCUCGCCCUCCUAAAAAGCAUAACACUAAAAGGAGGGGUUGGAACCUCCGUCAUCAUGUCCCAAUCCCCCGCAUUCAUCAACCCAUAAGACUUAGCUAGGCGGGUCACGAACAUCCCACCAUUUAUCUUUGAAAUCUUCCUGUCUUUGACCGCCCCUUCGCUAAAAUAUGUAGCCAUGAAAUAAGGGAUACAGAAAAAAGUGUUUGGAGUGAUAAUAUUCCACAAGUAAAACACGUCCAAACUAGGGACCUUGUCAUCGUAUUUUCUUUGGUUGAUAGUGCUCGAGAUGAGGCGAUAAAUAAGUCGAUGGGUGGGGGAUCGGAUACUCCCCUCUUGAGCAGAUUUUGCAACAUAAACUUUGUUGGAUAUAGUGUUCCACCAAAGGUCACCCUUGACUCCAUCCGGAAAAACUUAAUGGCAAUGCUCCAGAAAUGUUCCAAACGCAGCAGUACUGACCAAUUGUUGGUCAUAAAUCCCCAGUAUCCAUGCUAACUCCACAAUACUGCAUUGGCGGUAUACCCCUCCAAGGCAAAAUGUGAUGUUCCCAGGAUUGUAGUAGUCAUUUCUUCCCCGAAAAGAAACCGUGGUGAAAAACUCCCAACAUAGUUCUUGGUACACCGACUCGUGGAUCCUAAAUAGCCGGUUCCACCUGUCACAUGUAAUAGAGACUCCAUUUUGAUUGAACGUUUUCACUAAGUAGGGGGGCUAACUCCUCUUCGUACCGUACUCUCCCAAUCCACUCCCAAUAAAUCGCAUUGGGUACAUGUAUAUCUUUCUUUUUCAGUUCUUCCAGCUUCUUUCUCCACCUCCUCAUUGUAGAAUCGAAAUUUAUGCGUGGGAAAGUCAACCAAGGAUGAGAAUCUUGGGUUCCAUGGGAGCUUUUCCCCAUUCUUAACAUGUUUCCUACACACAUAAAUAAAACAGAAACCAAAAAAAAACGAAACAUUAAAAAUCAUAUUCUGAUAUUCACGACUAGACUCGUCGAGUCCAUGAAUAGACUCGGCGAGUCCUAUGAACACUCAGAGUCCACAGUAUGGGUAUGAUUGAAUUACUCCAUAAAAACUCAAAAUUUUUCCAGGGCUCUGUCUCGGAAUGUCCAUUAACUAGUUACUUAUCAAUAAUUUCAACAUAAACAUCCUAUUUAAGCAAAAAUCUAACAACCCUAAAAAUGCAAAUCUUUUCAAACCGGAUUUUCACCAAAUUAGGGGCAUAAAACAUCUAAAGGAUGAACCUUUAACAAAAUUAAGGGAGAAUAAUGUUACCUUGCUUGAAGAUUUUGGAGAAAUAGGAGAAAAUAAAGAUGAGAGCUUGAGGGAAGAGAGGCACGUCGAGUGGGGCGGUUGCUGUGUAAAUGAGAGUAAUGUUUCAACAUAGGGUAAAAACCCUAAUUUCACCGGAUUGUAAAAAAAAAUUCGGUAAUAGUACCGACUCGUCAAGUAUGUGUACAAACUCGGCGAGACCGGUCGCGAAGUCAAACUUUUCCGAAUUCGUAUGGACUCGUCGAGUAGAUACCUAACUCGGCGAGUCGAUUAAGCUGUUUGUAUAACAGAAAAAAAUUUCCCAGAAAAAAAAACUUUAUUAAAUUUUUCCACACCCCACACUAAGGCCUUGCGUGUUCCUAAGCAAUCAUUAAGCUGGUCCGCCACGUGGGCCUACAGUCUCCCCGGACCGCUCAUUGGGUAUAUUGGCUUUCAGCACAAAGCAGGACCGCCUCAACCCAACCACCAGCAAAUAACCAUGUGCGCAUACUAUCAUACACAUGCAUAUACAAACAUCAAACAUAUCUGUCACACUGAUCAUCAAUCAUAGAAUUCUCCUGUAACUAGAGUACCGACCUAGCAGGUCACUAACAUACUAAUCCCUACGGAUCAUAAGAGCAUAACAUACUAUCUACCCCGAUUCCGAUCUAACAGAUCAUAAACACAUGUAGCAUACCAUAAAAAUAACAACUAAAGGGUCGGCCUUGGUGCCGUAGACCCUAUCGAUAUAGUGGGGAUAACUCACCUCACAGAUGUCGACACGAAAGGUAAACUCCAACUCCCGGAUGACUUGACACAGGUUCCACCACCUAUCAUCAUAGUACAUCAUACUCAUAAGUUCUUAACCUUAUAAGGUACUCCAUAACCCACUAGUCAACCCCUGGUCAAAGUCAAAGUCCUCAGUCAAGGUCAACAGUCCAUGUUGACCUUAACUCGCCGAGUACCCUUGGCUACUCGUCGAGUUCCCUGAAGUACAUUCCAACUCGUCAAUUCAUCAGAGUGACUCGUCGAGUUCCUUUGAUUCUCGAUCACACUUAAGGUCACCCGUCGAGCUCCCUCCUUGCAACUCGACGGAUACACACUCAUUCAUAACCCAGAGGAAACUCAUCCGACUCGCCGAGUUGCUCUUCAACUCGUCGAGUCUUAUGGCGAUCUUCAUCGGACUCGCCGAGUUGUUCAUCCAACUCGUCGAGUUCAUGGCCAUCUUCAUGUGACUCGUCGAGUCACUUUGCGACUCGUCGAGUCCAUUCAAUCCUUUUCCUCCAUACAGACAUAUUUUGAGCCAUGCAACGGCUCCAACUCAUAGAUCCAAGCUUCUAGGGCAUGUUUAUCACGUAAAGUUGCAAACUUUACGUGCAUGCAUGACUAUAAAGGCUCUAAAUGUCUAUUCUAAGUUCUUAAUGGAACUUCAUGCUCAAGAAGGACCUUAAUCAUAACCAAGACUGUGACUUUAUGCUUCUAGAAUCCAAGGAGGGUCCAGAUCUGAAGUUACAACUUCAGAUCUAGCCCAUAGCUCAUCAUAUCAAAUUAAAUCCAUAAAAAAUCCUAGAAACUCAACAAAAGGGAAAAAGGGAAGUAAGAAUGGCACUUUGAUACCUCCAAAGGAUGCUAGCUGAGGUAAAUCCUACUUCCCACUCCUUCCUUGCUUCAAUUUCCUUUGCACUCUUAGCUUUCUUCGUCCAAGAUCCUCUUUUCCAAGCUUCAAACACCACACCAAGGCACAUACACACGAAUUAGGGUUUUAAGGGGCUCUCAUAGACUAUAAAGAGGCUAAAGGAGGCUAAGGAUCCUUUAAAUAGAGGUGCAAACUCCGGGAUUUAGGGUUUCCACUGCCAACUCCUACUCGCCGAGUCUAACAUGGACUCGUCGAGUAGGUCACUUAACACGCGAUCCCACCCCGCUGCUACUCGACAAGUAGGUCAACCAACUCGUCGAGUAGAGCUUAACCCAAUAAAUCUUAUUUAAGCAAUACCUGAGAAUCGGGGCGUUUCAACUCUCCCCUACUUGAACUAGACUUCGUCCUCGAAGUCCGCUGGAGUAAACAAUGUCGGGUAAUGCUCGCGCAUCUCUGCCUCCGGCUCCCAUGUCCACUCGGAUCCCUUCCGAUGUUCCUAUUGUACCCUUACUAAAGUUAUUUACUUGUUCCGCAGAAUCUUCUUCUUCCUUUCCAAAAUAGCCACAUGCCUCUUCACAUAGUUCAGGCGUUGAUCGACCUGAAUGUCAUCCAACGAUACCACUGCCUCCUGGUCCAUAACGCAUUUUCGCAAUUGCGAAACAUGAAAUGUGGUGUGGAUCCGGCUAAGCUCCUCCAGAAGCUCUAGCCUAUAAGCCACCCUGCCAACCCUGGCAAUAAUCCUGAACGACCCAAUAUAACGGGGACCCAAUUUUCCCCUUUUCCUGAAGCGGAUCACACCCUUCCAGGGUGAGACCUUCAGGAGGACCAUGUCACCCACUUGAAAUUCCAGCUCAGAUCCGCGUCGGUCGGCAUAACUUUUCUGCCGACUCUGAGCGGUCUGCAGUCGCUGUCUAAUUUGUUGUAUCAUCUUGGUAGUUUGCAGAACUACCUCUGUCCGACCCAUCACUCUGUGCCCGAUCUCGCCCCAGCAGACUGGGGUCCUACACUUCCGCCCAUACAACAGCUCGAAAGGCGGGGCGCCAAUACUGGAAUGAUAGUUGUUGUUGUAGGCGAACUCUGCAAGCGAUAGGUGGGAAUCCCAACUCCCACCGAAAUCAAUAACGCACGCCCUCAACAUAUCCUCGAGGGUCUGAAUGGUCCGCUCACUCUGCCCAUCAGUCUGCGGAUGGAACGACGUACUAAAAUGCAGUCGUGUACCCAGUUCCUCAUGGAACUACUGCCAAAAACGGAAAGUAAACCUGACAUCUCGAUCGGAAACGAUAGAAACCGGGACCCCAUGACGAGAGACAACCCCUCUAACGUACAUGUCAACCAACUUCUCUGUCGACGAACCCUACCGUAUGGCUAGGAAAUGGGCACUCUUGGUCAAUCGAUCCACGAUGACCCAUAUAGCAUCGAACCCCCUUUUCAUCUUCGGCAACUUCGUGAUGAAAUCCCUCGUGAUCCGUUCCCAUUUCCACAUGGGAAUCUCCAAAGGCUGCAACUUACCAUGCGGCCUCUAAUGCUCGGCCUUGACCAUCCUACAGGUCAAGCACCUCCCAACAAACCAAGCGAUAUAUCGCUUCAUGCCAGGCCACCAAUAACUCGAACUCAAAUCACAGUACAUCUUGGUGGCUCCCGGGUGAAUCGAAAAACAAGACUGAUGAGCCUCCUCCAUCACUAUCUGCCGGACCCCUCCGGACAUUGGAACCCAAACCCGACCGUAACGGGUCAACAAUCUGCGGCUAUCCUGAACAAACCGGGCACUUUUGCUCUUAAUCCUCUCCAACUUCCAGUUCUUUGGUCUCAUGCCCUCAAUCUGAGCAUCCCUGAUCAAACCCACCAGUGGGGAAUCCACCGCUAUCCUCAUACACCUAGCUGGGGUCGAGGACCCAGCUGACUUGUGGCUCAGAGCAUCCGCAACCACAUUCGCUUUACCAGGAUGGUAAAGGAUCUCGCAAUCAUAAUCCUUGACCACAUCCAGCCACCUGCACUGCCUCAUGUUUAGGUUCGGCUGAUCCAUGAUGUGUCUCUAACUCUUGUGAUCCGUGUAUAUAGUGCAAUGGACCCCGUACAGAUAAUGCCUCCAAAUCUUGAGAGCAAAAACCACUGCUCCCAACUCAAGAUCAUGCAUGGGGUACCUCGUCUCAUGCGGCUUCAGCUGCCGUGAUGCGUAGGCUACCACCCGUCCUCUCUGCAUGAGGACUGCCCCCAAGCCAGUGAUGGGUGCAUCAUAAAAUACCACAAAAUCCUCCACUCCCUUGGGGACUGUCAACACCGGCACCUCGCAUAAACACUGCCGGAGGGUCUCAAAUGCCCUCUGUUGCUCAGGGCCCCACCGGAAAUCCACCCCCUUCCUUGUUAGAUGAGUGAGGGGUACGUAAAUCUUGGAGAAAUCAAGAAUGAAUCUCUGAUAAUACCCUUCUAAACUCAAGAAACUCCUGAUGUCAAAGGGAGAUUUCGGGGUCUCCCACUGUAUAACCGCCUCCACCUUGGCCGUAUCGACCAGAAUCCCCUCCUGGUUAACGAGGUGUCUAAGGAACUGGACCUCCCUUAACCAAAACUCGCAUUUUGAGAACUUGGCAUACAACCGUUCUCGCCUCAGAACUUCCAGCAGCUCCCUGUGAUGCUCCUCAUGCUGCUCUCGAGUCUUGGAGUACACCAAGAUAUCAUCUAUAAACACAAUGAUCGAGUGAUCAAUCAUCGGUCUGCAUACCCGGUUCAUCAGAUCCAUGAACACUGCUGGCGCGUUGGUGAGUCCAAACGACAUCACCUCAAACUCGUAAUGACCAUAACGAGUCUGAAACGCUGUCUUCUCCACGUCCUCCUCCCUCACCCUGACCUGGUGAUAUCCUGAUCUCAAAUCAAUCUUGGAAAACCAAGAUGCACCCUGCAGCUGAUCAAAAAGAUCGUCUAUCCUCGGAAGCGGAUAACGGUUCUUCACCGUUAACUUGUUCAGCUCCCUCUAGUCAAUGCACAUCCUGUGCGAACCGUCCUUCUUCCUGAAGAAAAGGAUCGGUGCUCCCCAGGGUGAACUACUCGGACGAAUAAACUGCUUACCCAACAGUUCCUGCAACUGAGAUGACAACUCCUGCAUCUCUGGCAGUGCCAGUCGGUACGGCGCCUUAGCGAUAGGGGCCACACCUGGCACUAGGUCAAUCCUGAACUCAACUUGCCUCUCCGAAGGCACUCCGGGUAACUCCUCCAGAAACAAAUCAGCAAACUCCCUCACCACUGGGACCUCAGAAACUGAGAGCUACUCUCUAACCUGCGUAUCUACAACAUACGCCAAAUAACCGGCACACCCGUGCUGAAUAUACUGUCGAGCCCUGACUGCCGAAUAAAACCCUGAUCCCAACCUGGUGCCCUCACCAUAUACUACAAGUUCUCCCCCACUUGGGGUUCGAACCACCACCCACUGUCCCUCACAGUCGAUCAUGGCGCCAAAACGGCUAAGCCAAUCCAUCCCUCAUGGGUAUAGGAAUCAAAUCUAUCGGGAAGGACACCCCAAAAAUCUCCAACUCACAUCCACGAAAGACCAAAGAAACAGAGACCUCGUGCUCGUUGGCGAUCGAAACUCGCAACGGACACUCAAGAUCAUCUAUCGGCACACUGAACCCUCUAAAUAAGGUCUGAGAUACAAACGAUCGACUCGCCCCCGAGUCAAAUAAUACCAAAACAGGCAAAGAAUUCACUAAAAACGUACCAGCAACAACAUCCGAUGUUGACUUGGCCUCCUCGGCCGUGAGCUGGAAGGCGAGACCCUGAGCCUUCGGAGGCUCCACAUUGACUGGCCUCCCAUCUCCAAUCCUCACAGCAGCUGGCGCGGAACCCUGCGCCGACUUAGCGGCGAGCUGCGGACAGUUGGUCUUCACAUGACCAACCUAAUGAAAAUGGUAACGAAUCCUCAUAUCUACUAGAGGGGCGGACUGACGGUAGUCCCUGGCAUAGUGCCCCUCCUUGCCACAUUUGUGGCACCCACCUCCCACUCGAAAAAUCCCUGAAUGAGACUUGCCACACUUUCCACAAGUGCGAAUCUGAUGACCCCCGGACCGUGUAUCAGCGGUCUUAGACCGCUUAGGCGUCGGCUGAGACUGUGCCGGUGCCUGACGCUGCUCCUUCAGCUGCAUCUCUAUCUCCAACUCACGCCGCCGCGCGGCUUCCAGGAGGGUAUCACAUUGCUGUGUAGACACAAACUAUCGAAUAUCAGUCUUGAGCAUACUCAUAUAACGAGUCAUCUGAGACUGCUCUGAAGCAAACUCCGGGCAAAACAUAUCCCUCUCCGUGAACAUACGGGUAAUCUCCAUCACAGACUCCCCAUCCUGUCUCAAUGUCAAAAACUCCUGCGCAAGCCGCUCCCGCUCAACGCGUGGAACGUAGCGGGUGCGGAACAUAUCUCUGAGCUGCUCCCAAGUAACAACAGCCCGCUGAUCAUUAGUAUACGAACCAGUCGUCAGCCUCCACCAGUCCUUUGCCCCAAGCCUCAGCAGGUUCAUGGCACACCUGACCUUUUGGUCAGCGGGACAUGAGCACGUGAAGAAACAGCCCUCCACGUCAGAUAACCACCUCAUAGCCCUAAUCGCUGCAGCGGCAGCUGUCUUUGCUAUAGCUGCAUAUCGCUCAUCAAAAUACUCAACCAUCGCGGUCUUAAUCGACCGGAACAUCUCUGGCAGCUGCGCUUGGAACGCAGCAGCAAUCUCGUCGUGCAUGAUCUCCCUGAUCCUGGCAUCCAACUCCUCGGUCCCUAUCUGAACCACUGGCUCAGGUACUACCGGCACCUCCAACCCUCCGUCUCCCGACCCCGAUCCUGAUCCUGAUCCUGAUCCGGAUCCCGAAGCAACACGUCUCGUCACCACCAUACUGGAAUAUAUAUACAAGUCAUCAGAUAAAUAACAUAAUGUCGGGAGACCAAAACCCCAAAAACCCCAAGGGUUGUGAUUUCAUUGCCACGCGUAUGGGUCCUGUGCCUUUAGUAGUACGGGCCCAUACUACCUUCCACACCUACCCAUAUUUGUCUCAAGUAUCACCACAACGCCCUAACAAUAUCAUCAACAUAGAAAUGCGCCCAACCCUCACUUCUAGGGGAAUACCAAAUAUCUCGCAUCUAGUCUUACCACUUAUCACAACUCACACAUCCAUGAAACUUCCAUCAUCCCCUGCAUCGACAGUGCACACUAGCUGCACGUAACGCUAGACCCCAUAGACUUUCGAAUAUAUAAUCCUACACUUAGGUCGAAUCAGACAUUCUCAGGCUAUAAGAUCUUGAUUAUACACAGUCGUGAUGCAUACACCAAACAUCUACAGUUAUGAUGUCAAUUCCAUAUACAAGAAACCCUAGGCUAAUAGGCAUCAUAUAAUCAGGCAAAGCCAUCAUGCGAUUCCUGAAGAUCCCUAGCCUAGCACUAGCAUGUUGUUCUAACAUAUCAGAAUAUCAAAUAACUAUAUGGUAUUUUAGGGUUCACUUACAGGCUCCGGCUGAUCGUACCCUUUGCAUCCUCCAUCCUUAUUUUGAAAACCAUUUUAAAACUUAUGUUCCGAAAAUCUCCUUGAUUUGAGACUAGAUUCACACGAGUGUUCCUCUAAUUCACUCAAACCAAGGCUCUGAUACCAACUUAUAACAUCCAUAAAUUUUACGCCAAAUUAAAACUUUUUCAAUCAUAAAUAAAAACCAAAUAGUAUUGUUUACAAAAUGUUUUCAAAUCAUUUUCCAUCAGAGUGUCCCAAAAAUCAUAUCAUAAGGAUGAGGAGUGGUACGGUCAUGCCUUCGCCUUUCCAUGAUCUCCUAAAGUACAUGAAACAAUAAAUUGAAAACUGUAAGCCCGAGGGCUUAGUGAGCUACCCCCAAAAUACCAAGACCACACUGACAAUACUAUAUCAGUAAUAAUCAAUCAAUCAUCAUGCAUACUGGGCCAUCGGCCUGAGCGGACCGCCCUACCGGGCCUACAGUCUGUCUGAAUCUAUCCUGAGCCUUCAGCAUGACUAGUCCGCCACGUGGGCCUACAGUCUCCCCGAACCGCUCAUAGGGUAUAUCGGCCUUCAGCACAAAGCAGGACCACCUCAACCCAACCACCAACAAAUAACCAUGUGCACAUACUAUCAUACACAGGCAUAUACAAACAUCAAACAUAUCUGUCACAUUGAUCAUCAAUCAUAGAAUUCUCCUGUAACUAGAGUACCGACCUAGCAGGUCACUAACAUACCAAUCCCUACGGAUCAUAAGAGCAUAACAUACUGUCUACCCCGAUUCCGAUCUAACAGAUCAUAACCACAUGUAGCAUACCAUAACAAUAACAAUUAAAGGGUCGGCCUUGGUGUCGUAGACCCUAUCGAUAUAGUGGGGAUAACUCACCUCGCAGAUGUCGACACGAAAGGUAAACUCCAACUCCCGGAUCACUUGACACAGGUUCCACCACCUAUCAUCAUAGUGCAUCAAACUUAUAAGUCCUUAACCAUAUAAGGUACUCCAUAAGCCACUAGUCAACCCCUGGUCAAAGUCAAAGUCCUCAGUCAAGGUCAACAGUCCAUGUUGACCUUAACUCGCCGAGUACCCUUAGAUACUCGCCGAGUUCCCUGAAGUACAUUCCAACUCUCCGAGUCAUCGGAGUGACUCGACGAGUUCCUUUGAUUCUCGAUCACACUUAAGGUCACCCAUUGAGUUCCCUCCUUGCAACUCGACGGAUACACACUCAUACAUAUCCCAGAGGAAACUCAUUCGACUCGCCGAGUUGUUCUUCAACUCGUCGAGUCUUAUGGCGAUCUUCAUCGGACUCGCCGAGUUGUUCAUCCAACUCGUCGAGUUCAUGGCCAUCUUCAUGUGACUCGCCGAGUCCGUUCAGUCCUUUUCCUCCAUACAGACAUAUUUUGAGCCAUACAACGGCUCCAACUCGUUGAUCCAAGCUUCUAGGGCAUGUUUAUCACGUAAAGUUGCAAACUUUACGUGCAUGCAUGACUAUAAAGGCUCUAAAUGUCUAUUCUAAGUUCUUAAUGGAACUUCAUGCUCAAGAGGGACCUUAAUCACAACCAAAACUGUGACUUUAUGCUUCUAGAAUCCAAGGAAGGUCCAGAUCUGAAGUUACAACUUCAGAUCUAUCCCAUAGCUCAUCAUACCAACUUAAAAAUCCAUAAAAAAAACCCUAGAAACUCAUCAAAAGGGAAAAAGGGAAGUAAGAAUGUCACCUUGAUACCUCCAAAGGAUGCUAGCUGAGGUAAAUCCUGCUUCCCACUCCUUCCUUGCUUCAAUUUCCUUUGCACUCUUAGCUUUCUUCGUCCAUGAUCCUCUUUUCCAAGGUUCAAACACCACACAAAGGCACACACACACGAAUUAGGGUUUUAAGGGGCUCUCGAAGACUGUAAAGAGGCCAAAGGAGGCUAAGGCUCCUUUAAAUAGAGGUGCAAACCCCGGGAUUUAGGGUUUCCACUGCUAGCUCCUACUCGCCGAGUCUAGCAUGGACUCAUCAAGUAGGUCAAUUAACACGCGAUCCCACCCCGCUGCUACUCGACAAGUAGGUCAACCAACUCGUCGAGUAGAGCUUAACUCAAUAAAUCUUAUUUAAGCAAUACUUGAGAAUCAGGGCGUUACAACACUAAUCUAUAUGGUGUGGUUCCAAUGGGUGUUUUAACUGUGGUCCUAAAUGCCCAAAGUGCAUCAUCCAAUUGAUCCACACGAUCUUUUCUAUUGUGCCCUACCGAUUUUUCCAAAAUUCUUUUUAUCCCCCUAUUUGUAAUUUCGAUUUGCCCAUUUGAUUGUGGAUGAUAAGGUGUUGAAAAUCUAUGGCGUACCCCGUAUUUUUGCAACACUUUUGCUAGUUGAUCAUUAGCAAAGUGGGUUCCCCGAUCACUAAUUAAUGCUUUAGGCACUCCAAAUCUUGAAAAUGAUUUCUUUAAAAACUUCACCACCACUCUUGCAUCAUUAGUUGGUAAUGCCUGUGCUUCCGCCCACUUUGACACAUAAUCUACCGCCACUAGUAUAUAUUUGUUGCCUUUGGAUAAAGGAAAGGGUCCCAUGAAAUCUAUACCCCAAACAUCAAAAAUCUCACAUACUUGAGUAUUCAAUCGGGACAUUUCAUUCCUUGCCGAUAUAUUCCCCGUUCGUUGGCAAGCAUCACAUUCUUUCACGUAGGUAGCGGCAUCUCUGAAAAUAGUAGGCCAAUAAAAACCAGCAUCAAACACUUUUUUAGCAGUGUAUUGUACCCCAUGAUGUCCUCCAGCAGGUCCGCUGUGGCAAUGCUCUAAUAUGUCUCUACUUUCUUUUCCAAACACACAUCUUCUUAUUAUUCCAUCCGCACAACUUCUAAAAAGAUAAGGCUCGUCCCAAAAAUAAUAUUUAAUUUCGGAAAAGAAUUUCUUCUUUUGUUGAUGGGUAAGGUCUUUUUUAAGGUAAUUGCCAGCCAAAUAAUUUGCAAUGUCUGCAUACCACAGGUCUUCAUCCACAACCAUCAUCAAAUACUCUUCUGGGAAGCUAUCUUCAAUACCCAUGUUGUCUUUAUCUUCCCUUUCCAGAUUUUCUAGUCUAGAUAGGUGGUCAGCAGCUACAUUCUCCAUCCCUUUUUAUCCCUGAUUUCGAUGUCAAAUUCUUGGAGUAAAAUCACCCAUCGGAUCAAUCUUGGCUUUGCAUCCUGCUUGGCAAACAAGUACUUAAUAGCAGAGUGGUCAGUAAAAACAGUGGUCUUUCAUAAAAUAAGAUAAGGGCGGAAUUUUUCAAAAGCAUACACCACGGCUAGUAAUUCUUUUUUGGUUGUGGUGUAAUUUUCUUGGGUCGGGUUCAAAGUCUUGCUUGCAUAAUAAAUGGGUCGAAAGUGCUUAUCAACCCUUUGUCCAAGUACGACUCCUAAUGCAAAGUCACUAGCGUCACACAUUAUUUCAAAAGGCAAGUUCCAAUUCGGGGCAAUAAUGAUCGGAGCAUUAGUUAAUUUUUCUUUCAAAAUUUCAAAAGCCUCUAGAGACUCUUUAUUAAAAUGAAAUGGUGCAUCUUUUAAAAGUAAUUGAGUUAGAGGUCUAGUAAUUUUAGAAAAAUCCUUUAUAAAAUGGCGGUAAAAACCUGUGUGGCCUAAAAAACUCCUAAUGCCCUUCACAUUAGUUGGUGAAGGUAAUUUAGCAAUUGUAUCAAUUUUUGCCCGAUCCACCUCAAUUCUCGCUUUGGAUACCUUAUGCCCUAAUACUAUACCCUCUUUAACCUUAAAGUGACAUUUUUCCCAAUUGAGAACUAAUUCGGUUUUUUCGCACCUAGCAAGCAUCAAGUCAAGGGUAGCAAGACAAUCAUGAAAAGAAGAUCCAAAAACAGAAAAAUCGUCCAUAAAUACUUCCAUAAACUUUUCCACCAUGUCAUCGAAAAUUGUCGUCAUGCAUCUUUGAAAGGUUGCAGGUGCAUUGCACAACCCAAAAGGCAUGCAUCGAUAGGCAAAAGUCCCACUUGGGCAAGUGAAAGUAGUCUUUUCUUGGUCGAUUGGGUAUAUGGGUAUUUGGAAGUAACUCGAAAAUCCAUCUAAGAAAAAAUAAUAGCUAUGACCGGAUAAUCUUUCAAGCAUUUGAUCAAUAAAAGGUAAAGGAAAAUGGUCUUUAUGAGUGGCAUCAUUUAACUUUCGAUAAUCGAUGCACACUCGCCAACAGGUUACCGUUCGGGUCGGAAUAAGUUUGUUCUUUUCGUUUGUCACCACCGUCAUCCCACCUUUCUUGAGCACCACUUGAACAGGACUAACCCAUGGCCUAUCACGAAUAGAAUAAAUAAUCCCUGCAUCUAAAAGCUUGACUACUUCCUUCUUGACCACUUCUUGCAUGUUCGGGUUCAACCUCCUUUGAUGUUGCACUACCGGCUUCGCCCCUUCUUCCAGGUUGAUCUUAUAAGAGCAACAAGAAGGGCUUAUUCCCUUGAUAUUGGUGAUACUGCACGCAAUGGCACUCUUUCUCUUCUUUAGGACAUGGACUAAUUCUUCUUUUUCAAAUUUGGAGAGGUCAAAAUCUAUAACAACUGGUUUUUGAUCACCUUCUUCAAGAACUGCAUACUCUAAAUGAUCAGGUAGAGUUUUAAGGUCUAAUUUCAUAUUUUGUAUACUAGACACGUCGAGUCGAGGUAUGUAACUCAUCGAUUCUAUGCUAAAAUUAUCGCUUGAUCGAGAAUUCUCGUAGGGACUCGUCGAGUAUGUGGUAUCGACUCGGCGAGUCGAGCUUUCUACCCUUAUGAUCAAUUCAUUGUAGUCGGAUUCUUCUAGCAGUCUUUCUAUCUCUUUCAGGUCCCCUUCAGCAUCAAAAUCUUCUUCAAAAGAAAUGGUUCAAUUGCUCCCAUUUUCCUCUUUCCAAUCCUCUAUUAAUUUGUCCAUCAUAUCUACCGAGAACGCGGUAUCAUCACUAAACCUUGCAUGCUUCAUUGCUUGAUCUACUCCAAAUGUCACUGAUUCGUCUCCCACCCGAACGGUAAGUUUGGAAUCUCGCAUAUCUACUAUAGCACUCGCGGUGUUGAGGAAAGGUCUCCCAAGUAUGAUCGGGACUUGAGGAUCCGCUUCCAUGUCUAGAACUAUGAAAUUCGUGGGGAACACGAACUUAUCAACUUUUACCAAUAGGUCCUUGCAUAUUCCCCUUGGAAAUGUGACCGUUUUAUUAGCUAAGUGUAUUGCCACUCGAAUUGGCCUUGGCUCCGGAAGGUCCAAUUUCUUAAAGAACGAAUAUGGCAUGAGAUUUACACAUGCCCCCGAAUCCGCUAAUGCGUGUAUAGUUGCCAAAUUUCCGAAUUGACAAGGCAAUGUCAAACUACCUGGGUCACCUUUCUUUUUAGGCAUUUUGUUCAACAUGGCAGCUGAACAAUUUUCAUUGAAAACUACAUCUUUUAUUUCUUCCAUCUUUUUUCUAUUUGUGAGGAGCUCCUUUAAGAAUUUGGCAUACUUUGGCAUUUGUGCAACCGCCUCGGUAAAGGGCAUGUUAAUUUGAAGGGCUUUGAUGUGUUCCAAAUUUUUUUGAUAAUCAACAUCAUGCUUAUCUUGUCUAGCUCGGCCUGGAAAUGGUAAUAGAGGCUGAUAUGGUUUAACAGAAGGGUCUUUUUUCGAUUCAAGCGGAGGACCCGUCGAGUCCAUGUCCGCGACUCGGCGAGUAGUGUCGGGGUUCGGUGGUUUCUGCUUUUCUGCCUCCUCUUGCACCAGUUUGGGAUCUUCAUUCUGAAUAGAAUUCAGAGGGGUUAUAAUCUUCCCACUCCUAGUUGUCACAAUAUUUAUAUGUGUACCUUUCGGGUUACUUUCAGUGUUACUAGGAAGUCCACCCGGGCUUUUCUCAUUCACUUGUUGUGCAAGUUGCCCCAGCCACUUUUCUAUGUUGAGAAUAGAUGCUUGCUGAUUCCUAAGCAAGGCUUAUUGAUCUUUCAUCAGAAGUUGUUUUUCUCUCAACAUAUUUUGUUGAUCUUUAAGUGUAGCAUUGGUAUCAUUGUGUCUUUUCUCGGAUGCGGCCACGAAUCUUAUAAGCAUGUCUUCCAAAUCUGACUUCUUUUCAGGUACCAGUUCCUCCUUUUGAUAAUAGCCUCUCUCCUUUUGCUUAUACUUUUCUUCCCUUGUCUUUUUGUACUCAUCAUAUGCUAGCCAUUCUUUCUUUGGUUUCCGCCAAUUGUCAUCAAACCUAUCACCACUUGAAUAGCAUACUUGUACCUUUCGGUUCCCAUUCUUAUCAAGAUCACAGUCCUUUGUAAGGUGGGGCCCUCUACAGUUUUCACAACCUACUCUAAUAGCAUGGAUGGAUUGGUCCAUCUUAUUCAUUCUUCGGUCCAUGCUUUCCGAUUUUGCCGUCAUUGUUGCCAUGUCAUCAGUGAUAGAAUUUACCGCCCUUCGAGUCAAGUCAUUCCUUGGGUUAUGAUAUUCUCUAAAGUGCUUAGAGAAUUCUUCAAUUAGUUCUUUGAUCACCGGGAGUGCCUUCUUUGUGAGAGAUCCUUGUGAUUCAAGGAGCUGCCUAGUUGUUACAUUGACUCCAUCAUAAAACAUGGAAACUUCUUGUUAACUGUUUAGAUCAUGAUGUGGACAAUUCCUUAGUAGGCCCUUGUAUAUCUCCCAAGCCUCAUAAAGUGAUUCUCCAGCUUGUUGUUCAAAGUUGGCAAUAACUUUCUUCAACUUGGCUAUCUUCGAAGGAGGGAAAAACUGGUUAAUGAAUUCUUCUUUCAUCUUGGCCCAUGUAGUGAUGGAUCCUGGUGGUAGUGAAUUGAGCCAAUCCUUUGCAGUACCCUUGAAUGUAACUGGAAGCAUACGAAGCAACACAGUUUUGCUAGGCAUAUUUGGAACAUUAAAAUAAUCAGUUACAUUGUUGACCUCAUCCAAAUGCUUGUAGGCAUCUUCGUGAUCUUUCGCGUAGAAGGGGAUUUCCUUAAGUUGAGCAAGUAUGUGGCCCUUUAGUUCGAAAGUGGUAGUAACGGGAAUCACCGGUUUCACGGGUCCUGGGCCGGUAUCGUCACGUAUCCUCUUCUUCCAUUCACCAAUAGGAACUUCAUCAAUGUUCGCCAUGGUAUUAGCGGGUUCGUCUUCAAAGUCGCUUUCUUCUUUGGAUUCGGUUUCUUCCUUUUUGGUUUCGUACUCGGUGUCCUCCUUCUGCGGGUCUUCUUCCGCUAAUGAAGAGAAGCUGGAUUCUCCUACCUUCUUGCCCUUUUCUUACUAAAAAUGGCUUUUAAAUUCUUCAAUGGUGAAUUCUUCGAUGUUGCAGUUUCUCCUACGUUCUUGCCUUUUUUUUCUUCAAGGUUGCUUCCGGAUCCUCAAGUGGUGGGAUCAAAGGUGUACCUCAUCCCCUGGUCAUAAACGAACUGCAAACAAAACAGAAAACACGCGUAAAAAGAACAAAACAAAAAGAAUAAAAAAACUAAAUUUCCUGUUCAGCUAUGGACUCGUCGAGUCUGUCCGUAGGGACUCGGCGAGUUCACUGCCUACACAAAAAAAAUUCUGAAACAAAUUUCCUAAAAGCUGAAAACUAAAAAUUAUUGCUAAUACCUAAUCUACUUAAAAUAGUAACUUUGUGCAAGACAAAUCUAACACAAAGGAUUGAUAACAAUAACAAUCAAUUUAAAUUUAGAACCGUUCCCCGGCAACGGUGCCAAAAACUUGAUGUGUGUAAAACCAACUAUUUUUAUUCCUACUUUUCUAAUGUAAAUUUGACACACAAUAGGCAGUGUACCUAUCUAAUGUAAGUAUAGUUUUUAGUAAGCAGGAUAUCGAACUCAGGGAACGACAAUUUAACUAAUUACUAGAACUAUCUAAAAAAAAUAAUAAAAGGAGGGUGUUUCUCUAGUUUUGCAAGACUAGAAAACUUAAAUUUCUAACUAAAACUCAAACAAAACAAUUAACAACUAGAAAGCUAAAAUCAACUAAGUUCAAUGGUGGAAGAGACUUCUGCUUAGGGGUGACUCAUUUGAUCAUAUGGUUGAUUCUAUGAAAAGUGCAAUGGAUUAAUUUAUAUUGGCUAACGAUUAAGAUGAUUAGGUUCACGUUCGCUAUUACUAAUCCUUAGAAAACAAAUUAAUCUAAGCAGUGGCCAUUUGUUUAAAUUAAGGAAGUUCAUAGUUUAUUUAUUCGGAUUAAGUAAGACUUGUAGUGGUUGACUAAAUUGGUCUUUUAAUUAACCUCUUGCUGAUGGUUCGUCAUACAAGCUCAUACAUUAAUUUCCUAUUUUCUAUUAACCCUAGUUUCACGUUCACUAUUCCUAGGCAUAUAACAAUGUUUUCACAUUCCUCAUAUGAAGUUAGCAAUUAAGAGAUGGUCAUGCAACUUAAUCACAGGUUAAUUAACAGAAAAUAGUUGUAAUUAACACACAAGGUUCUUUAACAAGCUUAACAAAACACUAUUACCAACAAAAAUUAAUCCUACUCAUAAAUCAACACAUAGUCACAAAUUUGUUUUCCCUAAACAGAAGAUAUAUGUUCUAGUUCAUGAUUAAGACAAUAAAAAACUCAAAAACACAAUCUAAUAACUCAAACAUGUUUUGGAAACUAGAUUUAGUAAAGAACAAAUUGAUUUUGCCUUAAUUCUCCUACAAAAGUGGAUCUAGGUUGAUUCUCCGACUUCUCAUGCUUCAGAAGAACCCUUAUUCACAGCUUUCUCUCCAAGGACUUCUUAGAAAAAUCGGGUGUCAAUCUGGAAGUCUCUUUUUAUAGAUCAGGGGCGACUC
rnacentral:lncRNA from 1 species